rnacentral:lncRNA from 1 species
AUCAAAUAUACACAAAUGCAUAUAAAGCAUACUAUAUUAACAUAUAAUUAGAAUACAUUUACGAAGAAGAUCUGUGAAGAUCCUUUGGUCACAGUCCAUGGGACGGGUUCUGAGAGCAGUAUUGGAUGGACGUACUGCCAGUUAGAGAACACUGCUGUAUCAGAGGAAACCAGCCUGGGAUAUUCUCAUGAAAGCCUGCCAUGACUGAGGGCACUUCUAGAUAAAGAGGAACUAGAAACAUUUCUGGAUAAAUAGAGCUAUGUUUUUUUAUCCUUAUCUCUCAUGCCCUGAUUUGAGGGAGUCAGAAGAUGGAGAAGAAGGAGGACGUUGAGGAAGGUCCGUUGACUAAUAAAUCCCAAUCCCAUUGUUGGUUCCUAAGACCGUUAAGGCAUUUGAAGGAAUUUUUAUUGAAUAGUGU